CAGUCGCCGCGGGAAUACGUAGGGUGCAAGCGUUAAUCGGAAUUACUGGGCGUAAAGCGUGCGCAGGCGGCUUCUUAAGUCGGAUGUGAAAUCCCUGAGCUUAACUUAGGAAUUGCAUUCGAUACUGGGAAGCUAGAGUAUGGGAGAGGAUGGUAGAAUUCCAGGUGUAGCGGUGAAAUGCGUAGAGAUCUGGAGGAAUACCGAUGGCGAAGGCAGCCAUCUGGCCUAAUACUGACGCUGAGGUACGAAAGCAUGGGGAGCAAACAGGAUUAGAUACCCCAGUAGUCCCUGUCUCUUAUAC
rnacentral:rRNA from 1 species